AGAGUUUGAUCCUGGCUCAGGACGAACGCUGGCGGCGUGCCUAACACAUGCAAGUCGAACGGUUUCAGGAGGUCAGCUUGCUGAUUUCCUGAGAUAGUGGCGGACGGGUGAGUAACGCGUGAGUAACCUGGCUCAGAGUGGGGAAUAACGUAGGGAAACCUGCACUAAUACCGCAUAAUGUACAGGGUUCGCAUGGACCUUGUACCAAAGGAGCAAUUCGCUUUGAGAUGGACUCGCGUCCGAUUAGAUAGUUGGCGGGGUAACGGCCCACCAAGUCAACGAUCGGUAGCCGGACUGAGAGGUUGAUCGGCCACAUUGGGACUGAGAUACGGCCCAGACUCCUACGGGAGGCAGCAGUGGGGGAUAUUAGACAAUGGGGGAAACCCUGAACGAGCAAUGCCGCGUGAGUGAUGAAGGCCCUAUGGGUUGUAAAACUCUGUUGUAUGGGAAGAACGGCUAUAUGAGGAAAUGCAUAUAGAGUGACGGUACCAUACCAGAAAGCUCCGGCUAACUACGUGCCAGCAGCCGCGGUAAUACGUAGGGAGCGAGCGUUAUCCGGAUUUAUUGGGCGUAAAGCGUGUGUAGGCGGUUUGUUAAGUUUAAGAUAAAAGCCCGGGGCUCAACUCCGGUUCGUCUUAAAAACUGGCAAGCUAGAGUGUGGUAGAGGUAAAUGGAAUUUCUAGUGUAGCGGUGAAAUGCGUAGAUAUUAGAAGGAACACCAGUGGCGAAGGCGAUUUACUGGGCCAUAACUGACGCUGAGGCACGAAAGCGUGGGGAGCAAAUAGGAUUAGAUACCCUAGUAGUCCACGCCGUAAACGAUGAGUACUAAGUGUUGGAAUUUCCAGUGCUGAAGCUAACGUAUUAAGUACUCCGCCUGAGUAGUACGGUCGCAAGGCUGAAACUCAAAGGAAUUGACGGGCACCCGCACAAGCGGUGGAGCAUGCUGUUUAAUUCGAAGAUACGCGAAGAACCUUACCUAGACUUGACAUCCCGGGCAAAGAUAUGGAAACAUAUUGGAGGCUAUCCCGGUGACAGGUGGUGCAUGGUUGUCGUCAGCUCGUGUCGUGAGAUGUUCGGUUAAGUCCGCUAACGAGCGCAACCCUUAUCCUUAGUUGCUAACAUUAAGUUGAGAACCCUAAGGAGACUGCCAGUGAUAAGCUGGAGGAAGGUGGGGAUGACGUCAAAUCAUCAUGCCCCUUACGUCUAGGGCUACAGGCGUGCUAUAAUGGCCAAUAUAAAGAGAAGCAAAGCCGUGAGGUAGAGCAAAACUCCAAAGUUGGUCUCAGUUCGGAUUGAGGUCUGCAACUCGACUUCAUGAAGUUAGAAUCGCUAGUAAUCCUGAAUCAGAAUGUCAGGGUGAAUACGUUCCCGGGUGUUGCACACACCGCCCGUCAA
rnacentral:rRNA from 1 species